rnacentral:rRNA from 1 species
GAUGAACGCUAGCGGCAGGCUUAAUACAUGCAAGUCGAGGGGCAGCACAGGAUAGCAAUAUUUGGGUGGCGACCGGCAAACGGGUGCGGAACACGUACGCAACCUUCCUUUAAGUGUGGGAUAGCCCAGGGAAACUUGGAUUAAUACCACGUAAGAUAGCAGAGUGGCAUCACUUAGCUAUUAUAGCUCCGGCGCUUAAAGAUGGGCGUGCGGCUGAUUAGGUAGUUGGCAGGGUAACGGCCUACCAAGCCUUCGAUCAGUAACUGGUGUGAGAGCACGACCAGUCACACGGGCACUGAGACACGGGCCCGACUCCUACGGGAGGCAGCAGUAAGGAAUAUUGGUCAAUGGACGCAAGUCUGAACCAGCCAUCCGCGUGAAGGAUGACGGCCCUCUGGGUUGUAAACUUCUUUUAUCUGGGAAGAAAUGCCAUUUUUCUAAAUGGUUUGACGGUAACCAGGUGAAUAAGCACCGCUAACUCC